rnacentral:lncRNA from 1 species
GAGAAAAAUAGAGGAGAUUGGGGGUAUAGUUCAGUGCUUGCCCAGCAUGUACAAGGUCCUGAGUUCCAUCCUCAGUGGCAAAAUAAAUGAAUAAACAAAAAUACUGGAAAAAAAUUGAAACAUGCAUGUCAUAAAAUGGCUUCUACAAAUUAAGAUAGAUAUACCAAAGAACUAAAAAGUAUAUGUACACACUAUAGGAUAAAUAUUUAUAAAUAUUGCACACAACAAAGUAUCUGAUUAUUCAUGUGGUGAGAUUAUGGGAUUUUUACUUUUGUUUGCUUGCUUAUAUUUUAAAAAUAUUCUUCAANGAAUAUGUAAUAAGAAAAAAAUAUAAUAAUAGUAAAAAAGCAGUAAGGGGAAAGAGGUUCUCUAAUAAGCAUCAACUGACAUUAUCUGAUGGGAAAUUUAGCAACACUUAUCAGAAUCUUUAUUAUUUAACAUAAUCUUUGAAUGAUGUGCAAGUUAUUCUGAGGAAAUAAUCAGGGAUGUAGCUACCAGAAUGUUCUUGACACUGUUGUUCAAAACAAGAAGACAUGGAAAAAUAGAAAACACUCAUAAGAAAGGCCAGAUUGAAUAAGUAAAGGGACCUGGCCUUCAGAGAAUAUCACAAAGUCAUUAAACUGUUGCGAUGGUAUGAGACAUUCGAGAUGCAUUAUUUAAUGAAAAAAACAUUAGGAAUCAAAUAAAGUUCAGAUAACCUUUUUACAAACUCUAAAGCUGAAGUCUAUGUAAACAGGGAAGGGUGGAGGGGGUGAAGGGUGCACAGGGAAUGGGGAAAAAAUAAGAACUAAGUUACAUCAUGUACAGGCACAAGCACCCAGUGAUAAAUGUAAACGUAUU